GACAGAUAAAAAUAUAUAAUGGACAAAUAAUAAGCCCAUAGAGACAGGCAUCGAUCUAAAAUGCUUUAAAAUCUCAUCGCACAAAUAAGGCUUCCACUAAAAGGCCCUACAAGGGAUGGCCCAAUAUACAUACAACAACUAAAAAUAGUUCAAAUCUUAUCCAUCCACGUGGCACAUUUCCAACCAUCCAAAUUCACCGGAGAGAUUCAAAUUCAACAACCAUAAUUCGAAUCAUAUGCUUCCUCCACCACCGGAGAUCCAUCAAGCAAACAAUCAAUCGGCGGAAUCGUCAACGUCUCUUGUUUCCCAUAAGCAUUCCAACAAAACGGAUCAUCAACAAGCUCACCUUCUUCCGGCAAUAACUCAACCUCCGACAUCGUUAUAUUCGUACACGCGACGGUAUCGCUACAAGCGAAAUGAAUCGGUGGACUUCUAACGUCGUAAGUACCUUUAAUGUUCCGAUACUCGACGUCGAAUACUUUAACCGCCGAUGUUUCGUUACGGCAAUCUUUGGAUUGGCAAUAGUAUUGAUCGACGAUUAUGCAAUUGAGAACGUUCUCCAUUUGGAUGUUUUCGAAGAGGAGAUUUGAUACUGAUCCGGUACCGCCUUGCCAUGUUUUGACUCGGAGGCCGUUAUCGGAAUCGCGAAUCACGGUGUUUCUCACUGUUAUGUUUGAAACGCAGGCUUGUGAAUUGUGCACGCCUAAGCUCCCAAUGCUGCGUUUUUAGACAUUUUAAGAGGUUUUUAGCGGUUAGAAUUCAAAUCGCGUUUUGAAAGCGAUAUACGACUAAACAAAAUGUA